UUCCCUGCUGCAGGCUAGUUUGCAACGCUGCAACCUAACCUAGGGCUACGCGUUCACCAAGUCGCCACUAAUGCUGGCGCUUCCAAAGCCACCUCAGCAAAAGAGGAAGCGCUGUAGGGAAUGGCGCUUCCAUGGCCACAUGGCUCGUCCCUGUCGAAGGCGCCAUCAGCACUGGCGCCAUGUAUGGCCAGCUACGUACAAAACAGCACCCCCUGGGAAAUAUCUCCAAAACAACCCUAGUUGGAGAAAUUCUUUCUAAAAGAACCCCAAACAGGAAAAUGUGCCCUCUGCCCUAACCUGAUUUGAUUGAUAACUUUUCACCC
rnacentral:lncRNA from 1 species